GGAUACAUAUGCCGUUUUAAAUUUUUUACUUUUUUGAACCAAGUAAUUUUUUUUCACUUUUCACUUUCACUUCACCAAUUUGGACUAUUUUGUGUCUGUCCAUUACAUGAAAUACAAAUAGAAAUGUAUUUAAAUGACAGGUUGUAAUGCAACAAAAUGCUUCAAAUUCCUCUGUAUCCCACAUCCCUGAGGAUUUAACAUGGUCCUCUCACACCAGCACAGUCGUGAAGAAGGCAAUGCCUCUUCUCCCGCAUAGACUAAGAUAACGUAGAAUAGGAUAGAAUAUAUACAUACGAGAUGAGUAAUGCAAAAUAUGUAAACAUUAUUAAAGUGACUAGUGUUCCGUUAUUUUAAAAGGCCAGGGAUUUCAAGUCUCCUUGAGGAACAUAUAGUAAGCCUACAGCAGGGGUGGAAUUUGGAGAAUUUUUAAAAUAUUUUUUAGAAACUGACCAAUGUAAAAAUCUAAUAUAGAAUUCACCUUAAAACACAUUUUGAGAUGUGGAUACGAGCCCUGGGAUGUUGAUAAGGAGGCCAGACAAUGUUUGAAUAUGACCUUGGGUGAGACGCAAUAUUGUGCCAGCAGACUCUCAUCUCUUCUCUUUUACUUGGGGUAAUAAAUGUAAUUCUACGUCUGGACCACAAUAUUAGGGUUAGACACUAUAAAUCAGAGGGAUUAUCCUCUGUAAUCUAAAGCAUUUUGGGUACUUGGAGAAAGGAAAGAAAUUACGUUAUGAGACAAUGAAAACAGCACGACCGUGAGUGAGUGGGUACUGCCUGACUGGGAGGUCAAAGUUGAAACAGUUUUCUGGGAUGUACAGGAAAAUAGAGGCUAGAGAGACACGCAGUAGAAACCUGUCCAACAAAAUAGACAAAUGGUUUCCAUUACCAAGGUCAUUUUUCUUUGUGAUUCAUGUCAAUACCACAGUUGUGAAAGAGUGGAUGGUGAACAGACCAGUGCCUGGUAACAGACUAGUCCUCUUUCAAAAAAGUAAACAGUUCAAUUAAGGUUUCUAGAAAAGAACGGCCCUGCUUUUCAGUGCUCGGUCCACAUGCAGGUAUGUGACGGGCAUAACAUGGAGAUGCAUGGUGAUAAAGUUAUGGGUUUGGGUUCACUGCAAUUUCCAUCUCUAAUUGGAUUUCCAAAUGCAAUGCCUGUUUCCAAUCAGCCCAGAGACCAGCAUAGACACAAUACUAAGCCAGACCAGACCUGAGCAGGCCAGACCUGACCAGACCAGACCAGACCUGACCAGACCAGACCAGACCUGAGCAGGCCAGACUAGGUCAGACCAGACCAGACCAGACCUGAGCAGGCCAGACCAGACCUGAGCAGGCCAGACUAGGUCAGACCAGACCAGACCAGGUCAGACCUGAGCAGGCCAGACUAGACCAUACCAGACCAGGCCAGACUAGGUCAGACCAGACCAGACCAGGCCAGACCUGAGCAGGCCAGACUAGACCAGACCAGACCAGACCAGGCCAGGCCAGACCAGAUCUGAGCAGGACAGACUAGGCCAGACCAGACUAGACCAGACCAGACUAGGCCAGACCAGAUUAGACCAGACUAGACCAGACCAGACUAGGCCAGUCCUGGGCUAUAGGCUGGCGAAGCAACUAGUUUGUUAGCUGUGGUGCACUUGCAUCAGUCAUUGUGAAAUGGUACAACCCAGAGAAAGAUAAAUAUAUAUGUGUGUGCGUGUAUAGGAUAAGUUGUUCUAGAUCUACUGUGAAUGCUGUGAUGAAGGCUCCUCUGUUAAUGUUGUGAUGAAGACUCCUCUGUUAAUGCUGUGAUGAAGGCUCCUCUGUUAAUGCUGUGAUGAAGGCUCCUCUGUUAAUGCUGUGAUGAAGGCUCCUCUGUUAAUUCUGUGAUGAAGGCUCCUCUGUUAAUGCUGUGAUGAAGGCUCC
ensembl:lncRNA